rnacentral:rRNA from 1 species
UGGGGAAUUUUGGACAAUGGGCGCAAGCCUGAUCCAGCAAUGCCGCGUGCAGGAUGAAGGCCUUCGGGUUGUAAACUGCUUUUGUACGGAGCGAAAAGGUCUGCCCUAAUACGGUGGGCUCACGACGGUACCGUAAGAAUAAGCACCGGCUAACUACGUGCCAGCAGCCGCGGUAAUACGUAGGGUGCGAGCGUUAAUCGGAAUUACUGGGCGUAAAGCGUGCGCAGGCGGUUAUAUAAGACAGAUGUGAAAUCCCCGGGCUCAACCUGGGACCUGCAUUUGGGACUGUAUAGCCAGAGUACGGUAGAGGGGGAUGGAAUUCCGCGUGUAGCAGUGAAAUGCGUAGAUAUGCGGAGGAACACCGAUGGCGAAGGCAAUCCACUGGACCUGUACUGACGCUGAUGCACGAAAGCGUGGGGAGCAAACA